rnacentral:lncRNA from 1 species
UGCAGGGAAUCUUGGGAACAGACUUAGUUGGGGAUCACCGUGGAAGUAUUAAAAAAUGCGAAUCUCAUGACAGCAUUGGCAAAAAGAACCUAUGAAACUAAUGUAAAGAUCAAUUGGCAAGAUUCGAAGAUAGCACAAGUGGCGAAGCAAAACAGCCUAUCUACAGCGGAAGAGAUACAAAUAUAUAAGAAAGCACAGGUAACCAUGGUUAUUAAUGAUAAACAGUUAGACACCAUAAGGAAUCCCUGGAAGUACCUCUUAAAUCAACAAUACAUUCAACCCCAGUAACCAUCCAUGAAAGGAUCAGACAAACACCCACAGGUAACCUAAGUUUAUUGAAAGACUCACUGAGCUGUAUUGAACUGUUACUUAGUAUAUAGCUCUUUAUGUCAGCC